CCAUGUACUGUAACCUGUCAGGCUGUCAGCAGCAAAAGUGAAACCUGUUUUAUUUCUUAAGUGUUUAAAAUGGAAAUAGGGCGAUUCUUUUUACAUUUGACCGGACCGGACAAAACGGGAGAGGAUCAACAUGCAGAGGAAUUAAUACCUACAUAAUCCUCUUGUCAUCACCAGCAUCGGUGAUAUGGAGAGGAUCGAUACAAUUUCUCAUGUGUUUCAUCGUCCGGUAUGUAGUGUUGAGGGUUCUUAGUUUGCAACGAUGUCCUUUACGGUUGGUGGGAAACAUUUUGGGGCUGGACAACAGUAAGAAGCCUUCCACUUUUCCGAAAUCUCCAAUUCCAAAAUAAUUACCAGUGAUGUAACGUUGUUGUUGUUACGUUAAACUUACUGUGAUUGAAAUUCGGGUAACAUUACUGAGCAGUUUGUUAAAGCUGUUAUAGGUUCCCACGAGUCAUGGCUGUCAUCUUAGCCCACCCACUUCACUUUGUAAGCUAUGCCUGUCCCAAGUUUUCUGCAAAUAAAAUUUAAACAGUCCAAAGUUAAA